rnacentral:rRNA from 1 species
GCGGCGGUCUAAAUUCUUUGAUGAGGUUCAUAGAGGGUGAAAGUCCCGUCUGUGACCGGUCAAUCCCAUGUGAAGUCCUUUCGACGAGUCGAGUUGUUUGGGAAUGCAGCUCUAAAUGGGUGGUAAAUUUCAUCUAAAGCUAAAUACCUGCCAGAGACCGAUAGCGUACAAGUAGAGUGAUCGAAAGAUGAAAAGCACUUUGAAAAGAGAGUUAAAAAGCACGUGAAAUUGUUGAAAGGGAAGCGCUUGCAACCAGACUUGCUCGGUGCACUCGGGCCAGCAUCGGUUUUGGCGGUCGGACAAAAACUUAGGAAUGUAGCUUCCGGUAAUGUUAUAGCCUGGGGUAAAAUGCGGCCUGC